UGGGGAAUAUUGCACAAUGGGCGCAAGCCUGAUGCAGCCAUGCCGCGUGUGUGAAGAAGGCCUUCGGGUUGUAAAGCACUUUCAGCGAGGAGGAAGGUGGUGAGCUUAAUACGCUCAUCAAUUGACGUUACUCGCAGAAGAAGCACCGGCUAACUCCGUGCCAGCAGCCGCGGUAAUACGGAGGGUGCAAGCGUUAAUCGGAAUUACUGGGCGUAAAGCGCACGCAGGCGGUUUGUUAAGUCAGAUGUGAAAUCCCCGGGCUCAACCUGGGAACUGCAUUUGAAACUGGCAAGCUAGAGUCUCGUAGAGGGGGGUAGAAUUCCAGGUGUAGCGGUGAAAUGCGUAGAGAUCUGGAGGAAUACCGGUGGCGAAGGCGGCCCCCUGGACGAAGACUGACGCUCAGGUGCGAAAGCGUGGGGCAGCAAACAGGAUUAGAUACCCUGGUAGUCCAGCGCUGUAAACGAUGUCGAUUUGGAGGUUGUGCCCUUGAGGCGUGGCUUCCGGAGCUAACGCGUUAAAUCGACCGCCUGGGGAGUACGGCCGCAAGGCUAAAAACUUAAAUGAAUUGACGGGGUCAUAGCUGUUUCCU
rnacentral:rRNA from 1 species